rnacentral:rRNA from 1 species
GAUGAACGCUGGCGGCGUGCCUAAUACAUGCAAGUCGAGCGAACGGACGAGAAGCUUGCUUCUCUGAUGUUAGCGGCGGACGGGUGAGUAACACGUGGAUAACCUACCUAUCAGACUGGGAUCACUUCGGGAAACCGGAGCUUAUACCGGAUAAUCUUUUGAUCCGCAUGGUUCAAAAGUAAAAGACGGUCUUGCUGUCACUUAUAGAUGGAUCCGGGCUGCAUUAGCUAGUUGGUACGUUAACGGCUUACCACGGCAAGUAUGCAUAGCCGACCUGAGAGGGUGGUAGGCCACAUGGGAACUGGAACGGGGUCCAGGCGCCUAAGAGAGGCAGCAGAAGGGUAUCGGCCGCAGUAGGCGAGAGUCUUGCGGAGCGACGGCGCGUGAGAGAUGAAGGUCUUCCGAUCGUAAAACUCUGUUAUGAGGGGAGAACAUAUGUGUAAGUAGCUGUACAGAGCUUGACGGUACCGAAUCAGAAAGCCACGGCUAACUACGUG